rnacentral:rRNA from 1 species
ACGCUCGACACCUACGGGAGGCAGCAGUCGGGAAUAUUGCGCAAUGGAGGAAACUCUGACGCAGUGACGCCGCGUAUAGGAAGAAGGUUUUCGGAUUGUAAACUAUUGUCGUUAGGGAAGAAAAAGGACAGUACCUAAGGAGGAAGCUCCGGCUAACUACGUGCUAGCAGCCGCGGUAAUCUGAGCGGGCUGGCAAGGC